rnacentral:rRNA from 1 species
GACGGAGGGUGCUAGCGUUGUUCGGAUUUACUGGGCGUAAAGGGCGCGUAGGCGGCUUCGGUAGUCGGGUGUGAAAGCCCGGGGCUCAACCCCGGAACUGCACCCGAUACUCCGUGGCUCGAGACCGGGAGAGGAGGGUGGAAUACCCAGUGUAGAGGUGAAAUUCGUAGAUAUUGGGUGGAACACCGGUGGCGAAAGCGGCUCUCUGGCCCGGUUCUGACGCUGAGGCGCGAAAGCGUGGGGAGCAAACAGG